CAUACAGACUUAUUCCUCUUCUCUCUUUCUCCAACUUUCAGUCUCUCUUAGCAGACAACCGCCCCUUCUCUCUUUGCUUCUUCUUUCUCUCUUGCGUAUUUCGUCUCAGUGGUUUAGAUUUUUCUCACACAUAACAUCCAAUACUCGGAAACCUAAAAGGAAGCAGCAGCAGCAGCAGCGGCGGCAGAGACCCGACUGCAUAAACUACCGCCCUUUCUUCACUUCGCAUGUUGUCUCGCUACUGCAAUCUUAAGUUGAUUACUACUAGCCUACGGUAUAAAUGGAAUCGGAGCGCUGGGAGAAGCUCCAGUCUUCUGUCAAGAAAUACAUGCGGAGCUUCCUCUAGUUCGCCUUUUGCUCUUGUGGUCAUGAAAAAGGCAUUCAAUCCAGGAAUGGGUGAUUUUGGGAAAACGCAUGGCUCGAGUUGGCGAAUACUCUCCACACUGUGAUUUACAUUUCAUUAUUAACGAUAUGUUUGGAGAUGAGUACGGAGAUGAUAGGCACACUUGUGCUAAGAGAUCCUAUCAAAGAUCUAUCCCCACACUAGCAAUCAUGCCAAAAACUAAUAUGUGACUCAUUUUCCACCUCAAAACGAACAGAAUUACAAAGAUGCGAUGGUGGUGGAUAAUUUGGUCGUUCAUAAUGGAGUUAUUCAAUGAAAUGUUCUUUUUACGAGGCAAAUCCAAGAUUGGGAUAUGGAGAUGGUUUUUUCUUUCUUCGAGCGGCUUUAUGCCUCUUUGAAAAGUAUUUGGUGUGUUAAGGCUCUGACAAGUGACAAUGGUGGCUUUCUUUGUAUAGUCAGCAGCUUGGGGUGUGGUAGUGAUUGAGUGGUGUUGUAUGUGUAAGAAGAAUGAAGAAUUUAUGAAUUAUCUUUUGUUUCACUGUGAAGUUGCCCGUGAUCUUUGGAUUUAUAUUUUUAGUUUAUUUAAGAUAGAGUGGGUUAUGCCACGAACGGUGUUGGGGUUGUCUAGUUGGGGCGCGUCGGUUGGGGAUGGUCGUCCUAAGAAGUUUGGUGGUUAGCUCCAUUGUGUAUAAUUUUUAAUUCUAUUCUCUUCUCGUCUCUUUUAGUA